GAUUGAACGCUGGCGGCAGGCUUAACACAUGCAAGUCGAACGAUGAAACUCUAGCUUGCUAGAGAUGAUUAGUGGCGGACGGGUGAGUAACAUUUAGGAAUCURCCUARUAGUGGGGGAUAGCUCGGGGAAACUCGAAUUAAUACCGCAUACGACCUACGGGUGAAAGGGGGCGCAAGCUCUUGCUAUUAGAUGAGCCUAAAUCAGAUUAGCUAGUUGGUGGGGUAAAGGCCCACCAAGGCGACGAUCUGUAACUGGUCUGAGAGGAUGAUCAGUCACACCGGAACUGAGACACGGUCCGGACUCCUACGGGAGGCAGCAGUGGGGAAUAUUGGACAAUGGGGGCAACCCUGAUCCAGCCAUGCCGCGUGUGUGAAGAAGGCCUUUUGGUUGUAAAGCACUUUAAGCAGGGAGGAGAGGCUAAUGGUUAAUACCCAUUAG
rnacentral:rRNA from 1 species